UGGGCGUAAAGAGCUCGUAGGCGGUUUGUCGCGUCUGUCGUGAAAGUCCGGCGCUUAACCCCGGAUCUGCGGUGGGUACGGGCAGACUAGAGUGCANUAGGGGAGACUGGAAUUCCUGGUGUAGCGGUGGAAUGCGCAGAUAUCAGGAGGAACACCGAUGGCGAAGGCAGGUCUCUGGGCUGUAACUGACGCUGAGGAGCGAAAGCAUGGGGAGCGAACAGGAUUAGAUACCCUGGUAGUCCAUGCCGUAAACGUUGGGCACUAGGUGUGGGGACCAUUCCACGGUUUCCGCGCCGCAGCUAACGCAUUAAGUGCCCCGCCUGGGGAGUACGGCCGCAAGGCUAAAACUCAAAGGAAUUGACGGGGGCCCGCACAAGCGGCGGAGCAUGCGGAUUAAUUCGAUGCAACGCGAAGAACCUUACCAAGGCUUGACAUGUUCUCGAUCGCCGUANAGAUACGGUUUCCCCUUUGGGGCGGGUUCACAGGUGGUGCAUGGUUGUCGUCAGCUCGUGUCNUGAGAUGUUGGGUUAAGUCCCGCAACGAGCGCAACCCUCGUUCCAUGUUGCCAGCACGUCAUGGUGGGGACUCAUGG
rnacentral:rRNA from 1 species